rnacentral:lncRNA from 1 species
CGCGCGCCCAAUAAAAGAUGCGAUAAGCAUCUUUUCAUUAAUCAGAUUUUUUUUAGAUUUUUACAUGUAGAAACUCUUUCCUUAAAUGUUUAAAAACUAGAAGAUUAUCUGAUAUAAGUGUUAUGAUCCAGGUGGUGUGCCCAAGGCCCAGGGGACCAAGGCUAAGGCCAAGGUCCAUCAUUCAUGAGGGCUUCAUGGAGGCUCUAGGGCUAGUUGGGCCCUAGGUUGAAAGGCUGUGGGCCUUUCGGGUUCUUGAGGUCUAGAUUAUGUGGGCCUCAAGGGACCAAUUCUUUAUGGGCCAGGUUUGGACCCAGGAUAGGUGAGAUUAGG